rnacentral:rRNA from 1 species
GAUGAACGCUAGCUACAGGCUUAACACAUGCAAGUCGAGGGGAAACGACAUCGAAAGCUUGCUUUUGAUGGGCGUCGACCGGCGCACGGGUGAGUAACGCGUAUCCAACCUGCCCAUCACUUGGGGAUAACCUUGCGAAAGUAAGACUAAUACCCAAUGAUAUCUCUAGAAGACAUCUGAAAGAGAUUAAAGAUUUAUCGGUGAUGGAUGGGGAUGCGCCUGAUUAGCUUGUUGGCGGGGUAACGGCCCACCAAGGCAACGAUCAGUAGGGGUUCUGAGAGGAAGGUCCCCCACAUUGGAACUGAGACACGGUCCAAACUCCUACGGGAGGCAGCAGUGAGGAAUAUUGGUCAAUGGGCGAGAGCCUGAACCAGCCAAGUAGCGUGCAGGAAGACGGCCCUAUGGGUUGUAAACUGCUUUUAUAAGGGAAUAAAGUGAGAGUCGUGACUCUUUUUGUAUGUACCUUAUGAAUAAGGACCGGCUAAUUCCGU